rnacentral:lncRNA from 1 species
UAAGUGGAAUAACGGAUGGCUUAGAGAGAGAAGCUCCGCCUUCUCUCUACUUUUCUUCAUCUCCUACACUGUUCAUCGUCUUCUUCUUCUCCAUUGCAGCUGCUAAGGUAAGUAAACCUAGCAGAAUUAGUUAUGGCAAAGAGGAGAGGUCGCCCAAGAAAGGAACUAGUUCCAAUUUAUGCGAGUGAUUUAGUCUUCCAAAAUGCAGUUAAUACUGUGCAGAUGGUAGGUACUACUGUUCCAUCGAAUCCUCCUGUGGUUACUGUUCCUUUGCCUCAAGUAAUACCAGAUCCACAACCAUCUAGUGUUCCAAUGUUACCAGUUGCGAUAGUGAAGAGUAUAGAGCCUCCAAUCAAGGCAGUAGCUGGUCCGAAGGAGCAGGAAAAUGGA